rnacentral:snoRNA from 1 species
CCCUUCAACAAAGGUACGUUUAUAGUUCCUUGUCUUUGGACAUAUAAGAAUUAGAGGCAAAGAAAUGUGGACCUGCAGAAAUCUGGGGCCAGCUUGCUCCUCACAGGCUCAACAUCAACCAUCCCACAUAG